UUCAAGUGGUUCUCCUGCCUCAGCCUCCUGAGUAGCUGCUAUUACAGGUGUGCACCACCAUGCCCAGCUAACUUUUGUAUUUUUAGUAGAGUCGGGGUUUCACCCUGUUGGUCAGGCUGGUCUUGAACUCCUGACCUUGUGAUCCACCCGCCUCGGCCUCCCAAAGUGCUGGGAUUACAGACGUGAGCCACCGUGCCCGGCCCAGCCCCAUAUUUUAAUGUAACUAGUAAGUGGUGUAGCCUGAGCACUGGGACUUUUGACAGCUCUCCAGAUGAUUCUCCUGUGCUGCUAAGUUCAGGAGCCUCUGUUUUACAGCCACAUUGUCAAGCUUGCUGGAGGGACCUAGGUUAAGAUUCCGUUAAAAAUUGAAAGCGAAUCAAAAGAAGAAACUUUGCAACCUUGGAGGCCCUCUAGUGCCCAAAUCAGAAUGUAUGGAAGAAUCCAGCCCACUGACUCCUUCCUCAGGACGAAGCACAGCACGACAGCCUUCAAGUUCCUAUGUGUAAAAGUGAUUCCUCUCGGCUGGGCGCGGUGGUUCACUCCUGUAAUCCCAGCACUUUGGGAAGCCGAGGCGGGCGGAUCACAGGGUCAGGAGAUCGAGACCAUCCUGGCUAACACAGUGAAACCCCCUCUCUACUAAAAAUAGAAAAAAUUAGCAGGGCGUGAUGGCAGGCGCCUGUAGUCCCAGCUACUGGGAGGAUGAGGCAGGAGAAUGGCGUGAAUCCAGGAGGCGGUGUCUGCAGUGAGCCGAGAUUGCACCACCGCACUCCAGCCUGGGCGACUGAGCGAGACUCCGUCUCAAAAAAAAAAAAAAAAAAAAGUGAUUCCUCUCUGUUAGUGAUCUGCCGCGUCUCAGAUACUUUACAAACAUUAUUGAUCCCCCCACGAUCACCUUGCUUGGUGGCAUUUUUUUUCUCACAAGUUUCAGAUGAAGAAACUGAAGUCACAGAGAUAAAGUGACUUGCUCAAGGGCCCCAAGUGAGUCAAUCCCCAAAAUCUCCUUUGUGACAAACCACAUUUCUUUUAGGAAGCAGGUAUCUUUCUUCUUCAGCAAUGUUCAAUAAAAGCCACGUUUAAAUUCCUUCAUUUAUGGUAAAGUCCAUCAUCAUGUUUCAUCCUUAGUAAUAAAACAAGUGAAAUAAUCAUGAAUGGAACUCACCGACUUGUGUUUGUAUAAAGAGGCUUAGAGUACCGCUGCUUGGCUAGCGAUGCGAUGUCUCCCAAGGGGUUGUCAACAUCAUCAGCAUUUGUAGACUGCACAUGACCACUGUUAGAAUGGAAAGGAAAGAAGGCAUAUAUUUCUGUAUAAGAAACAUAGAAGAAACCAUUGAACAGUAUUCUAACUUCCAAAGGAAAUUUAUUUGCCAAAGUAGAUCAAAGGCUCAAAAUGCAAAAUGUAAAGCAUAAUGAUAGAACAAUUUUCCUUAAAAAAUAUAAAGAUAAUUUUCUCUUCUUCAGAAUGAGCGGUGGCAUGCUCCUUGAUCUUAAGUUUGAGCCAGAGUGACAGUAAGGGCUGUUUUGUGUUUCUGAACAAAGAAGCGGGCUGUUCCUGCAGCCCCAGCACAACUCCUUUGGAGACCGGCUGGAGGCUGGGCAAGGAAGAGGCUGGUGUGUGCCAGAGAUUAUAAGGCUCCUGGUGAAUGGAAACCCUCACAGGUGCAGAGGAGCUUGGGCAACAAGCCACGUGCCCCUGGGCCUGAGAGAAAGUUGAGAGGCUGAGUUAAUGCCAAUCAGAGAGUUUCAAGGACUUCUGGGGCCACUGGUAGAAACACUAGUCAACUGCAGAACUGAAGAGGCCGAGUAAUGAGAGGGGUGGGCCAGGACUAAAGGUCCAGAUCCCUCCUCCAUAUUCUUGGAUCUACUUUGUUUUGUUUCAAGGUUCUUCUUCCAUCUAAAAACCAGGAGAAGACCCCAACUGGCAGAUAAUGUACUUUUUUUUGCCAUCCAUGGAAAGCCGGCAUUAAAUGUAGAAAUUAAGAGGUGAUAUUUCCAUGCUGUUAAUGAGCAUCUCAUCCCUUCUGCAAUUAUAACAGUUUUUGUGAUUCAUAACACUCAAUAGUGGUAGCAUCCAAGGUAUUUUAUUUCAAAAGGUAAUGUAUUUGGAAAAACAGAAAAAUACCACUCUUUCUCUCUUUCUUUCCUUCCUUCCUUCUUUGUUUCUUUCUUUUCUUUCUUUCUUUCAUCAAAAUCAAACCUUAGAUGGGACUUCUGACAUUAAACAGGCACUGUGUGCCACACAAACAUUAGAAAUGUGUUACAAUAUAUAAGUUGUCUUAAAAAGUGAAUACAACAUGCGUGAGCUGAAAGCAACUACAACCAAAAUAUAAAUCUAAAAUUUUUUUACAAGACUGAGAAACAUUACUUACGUAUAGAGAGGAAUAUAUUUACUUCUAGAACUUGAACUCACACUUCAAAAAAGAGAAGAGAGGCAACUGGGUUAUUUAUAUUAAGUUAAUAAACAUCAAAUUAUUACAGUAUUUCUCUAAUUAAGACAAAAGCCUUCACAGAUAUCUCAUAGGAAUUGUCCUUUAAAGGUUUGUGAUUUUAAACAGAGACUAUUUAAGGAUGUAGUUUGCUUUCUCCAGAAUGUCAAAUAAAUGGAAUCAUAUAAUAAAUUUUUGGGUCUGGCUGCUUUCAAAAUGU
rnacentral:lncRNA from 10 species